CUUCUCCCUGACACUUACUCCCUCCCUCCUGUCUCUCCCGUCCAUCCCUCCACUUCCUCUCCAAAAUCCCCCCCCUCCCUCCUUUGUUUCCACAGAGGAGGCCAAGGCGUUGUUUUUGUACCGCGCCGUGCUGCUGCUGCUGCGGGUCACGUGACGCCAUCUCGAGUCGCUGAGGCUGAGAGUUCAGUCGCGAUGGGACUCACACACACAGAGAGAGGUGGUGCAGCGGUGAGCCGCGCUCUGAAUCCCGUGGGGUCCCGAGAUCGACGCUCGCUCACGGCCACUGAACGUGACAGAAGGUGGCUCAAACCCUCCAUGCGUGGGGGUGGUGGGUUGGUGUCAGCGGGGGCGGGGGGGGGGCAGGGAGUGAGCGGCCAAAGUUAGGAGCGGCAAGACGACCCGGGCGGAGAGGACUCGGCGCGGCCACCGAGGGAGGCGUGGGAGCGAUCGAAACAACGUGAAGAUUCUAAACAAAACAAAAACUCGAACCAAACAACUUCUUAUCGGUUGCUACCUUGGCAAGGCUUCGCUGAGAUUUUUUUUGUUUGUUGCGGAAGCGACCUGGCUAUCUCAGAUGAUAGCUCAACGAAAGUGGCUCACAAUCAUGAUUAUCAUCACGUGGACAUUCGUACCAGCCGUGAGAUGGGUGGCCGUUUGAGUCGACACACGUGAACAGCAUCCACGCAAAAUCUCUCGCUGUGCGUGCUAAACUACUCAGCAACUCGACGAGUGUGAGAUUAAAAGCAGCCCUGCACUGUGUAUCA